rnacentral:lncRNA from 1 species
CUUCGGGCAAGAUGGCGGCUCCCGGUGCACUUCUCCGUCAGGGAGGGGCUGCUAUUCUCAGGUGCCGAUCUGGAUUCAGUUCAGCAGCGUUAGUCCCACACUCCAUUGAAAAGGCCCAACAAACAGUGAAAAGAAAUGGACUUGAAAGCAACGUAUUGCAAUGCUGAAGACAAAGUAUUGGCUGGAAUGGUAUAUAUUUGGACAGUCAUAACUAUGAUAUUAAAGGAGACAGGCCACGUCUGACCUGCUGUUGAUAUAACCAUAGGCUGGCAACACAUGCCUCAAGAGCCGCACAACCUUCCAUCAUUCAAGAUUCGUGGAGGACAGAUGUUUUCCAUCAGAGUGAUAGUAUUUUUACACUGCUUUCAUUAAACUGUCAUUUCUUAAACUGCUUCAAUUUCAGGCGCCUUUUAUCGCUUUGUUAGUUUUAAUGCAUCUCUCUAUACGUUGGAUGACAGAGACGUAGCCCUGACUUUAAUUGUGUGUAUAUUUCCCAAAAAUUGGGCCAUACACACUCACAGGAGCCCCCUCUGGAAUUGCACCUAAUUGUGAAGUGAAAGCAAUAUGGGAGCAAGCACCAUAAAGAUCACUAGUUAUUCAUGACGUGGAGACUGAGAAGUAUUAUGUAUGUAUUAAAAUGCUUUGAAGUGAAACAUUUAUGCAACUCACUUUGAAAGAAUCAAUAACUUUGAUAUAUUAGUGCAGUUGAAAAUACUGUUCACUUAGCACAAAAUGGAUGUAAGACAGAAAUAAAAUGAAUGUUCAAAACCAACAGCUAUCUGGCAAACUCAAAAAACACCAUCAGUACAAUUGAACUAAAUGAUCCUUUCUGCAACUUCCUCUUUAAUGCAAAGGUUUAAAAGUGUCCAUUGUAUAUCAUUUUGAUAUUAAAUGGCAAUAUUUACUUGAAUUUCCUCAGUUAGAUUUAUUUUAUUUUAUUCUAUUGUUUUCAUGACUUAUAAGGUACAACCAUUAGAAUCUUAGUUCAAACGUAGGCUUAGAAGGGGAAAUUUAUUCCUAAACCAUAAUUAGUAGAGAAUGGUGACUGUUUGAACCAUUAUGCAUAAGAGUUAAUUGAUGAGAGAGAACC